UUUUUUUAUAUAUAAAUUGAUUCGUGACUCUGUAAUAAUUUUGAUUUUUUUUAUCAACACGGUGCGGGAGUUUCUCUCUACAUUGAAGACCCAUUGGUGGCCUUCGGCUGUUGUCUGCUCUAUGGUCGGGUUGUUGUCGCUUUGACACAUUCCCCAUUUCCUUUCUCAAUUUUACAUAUACAACUUUUUUUAAUUCAUAAAUACCCUUGCUUAAAAUAAAAAAAAACAUAUAUGAAUAUUUGCCUAUUAACACAUGAAACAUUAUAAAUAUCUAUAUAGAUUCAGUAAACUUUGAAAUAUUCUUUCAGAUACCCAGUAAGCUUUUAAAAGAUAUAGAUCCAUAAACAAUAAAAUUGAAAUUUUAAAAUUGUGCUCUAUCAAAAUUGACAUUUUCAACAUUGAGGUCUCUCAGUUACUGUAGUAACUGCCGAAAUAUCACCAAAAGUCAAAUAUAUGCAUAAUAAAAAACUAAAAAGGUAUUGAAAUGUUCUGCUGGUCACUUCGAGUCUUCCAAACUGGUUACAGUUUCA
rnacentral:lncRNA from 1 species